CUGUUGUUGUUUGAGAUGAAAUUAAAAUUGUUGCGGGAGUAAUUGUUGAUAUGUCUACUGAAGUCACGAACGAAUUAGUGCUAUAAACAGUACUAUUCGGAUACGCAACAUUAGAUGUCGUAAGACUACUCGAGCUGGCAGUUGAACCGUCGAAUUUGUAUUGUUGUAUGACCAGAAGAAAGAGCACAUCUAACCAAAGAUUUCGGAUAUUCGCCAUUCUCGCUUCCCUGCUUGACCGUAUUUUGAGCCAGAGAUUCAACGCGGAUUGUUCUGAGAAUAAACGUGUUAUGCUUUAAUGUGGAAUGCACGUAAAUUCGCAAAGUUUUAAAUCAUCACUGGCAAAGAGACAGUCAGAUAGACAGACAAUGCCAAAUGAAAUAUGAUCUCAACACUAGGCCUUGUCAUUAUUCGCA